rnacentral:rRNA from 1 species
UACAGAGGGUGCAAGCGUUAAUUGGAAUUACUGGGCGUAAAGCGCUCGUAGGUGGAUCUUUAAGUCGAUUGUGAAAGCCCCGGGCUCAACCUGGGAAUUGCACUCGAAACUGUAGAUCUAGAGUAUGGUAGAGGAAAGAAGAAUUCCCGGAGUAGCGGUGAAAUGCGUAGAUAUCGGGAGGAAUACCAGUGGCGAAGGCGGCUUUCUGGACCAAUACUGACACUGCGGGGCAAAAGCCCGGGGAGCAACGUGG